CCUACGGGUGGCAGCAGUAGGGAAUAUUGCUCAAUGGGGGAAACCCUGAAGCAGCAACGCCGCGUGGAGGAUGAAGGUUUUCGGAUUGUAAACUUCUUUUGUGAGAGAAGAAAAGUACGGGAUCUAACGAAGAAGCACCGGCAAACUCCGGGCCAGGAGCCGAGGGAAAAAGGCGGGUGCAAGCGUUACUCGGAAUCACUGGGCGUAAGGAGCGCGGAGGAGGUAUAGCAAGUCAGAUGUGAAUUCCGAUGGCUUAACCAUAGAACUGCAUUUGAAAGUGUUAUUCUGGAGUAUGGGAGAGGUAGGUGGAAUUCUUGGUGUAGGGGUAAAAUCCGUAGAGAUCAAGAGGAAUAUUCAUUGCGAAGGCGACCUGCUAGCACAUAACUGACGCUGAUGCGCGAAAGCGUGGGGAGCAAACAGGAUUAGAUACCCGAGUAGUC
rnacentral:rRNA from 1 species